rnacentral:rRNA from 1 species
GACGAACGCUGGCGGCGUGCUUAACACAUGCAAGUCGAACGGAAAGGCCCUGCUUUUGUGGGGUGCUCGAGUGGCGAACGGGUGAGUAACACGUGAGUAACCUGCCCUUGACUUUGGGAUAACUUCAGGAAACUGGGGCUAAUACCGGAUAGGAGCUCCUGCUGCAUGGUGGGGGUUGGAAAGUUUCGGCGGUGGGGGAUGGACUCGCGGCUUAUCAGCUUGUUGGUGGGGUAGUGGCUACCAAGGCUUUGACGGGUAGCCGGCCUGAGAGGGUGACCGGCCACAUUGGGACUGAGAUACGGCCCAGACUCCUACGGGAGGCAGCAGUGGGGAAUAUUGCACAAUGGGCGGAAGCCUGAUGCAGCAACGCCGCGUGCGGGAUGACGGCCUUCGGGUUGUAAACCGCUUUCGCCUGUGACGAAGCGUGAGUGACGGUAAUGGGUAAAGAAGCACCGGCUAACUACGUG